rnacentral:rRNA from 1 species
ACUCCUACGGGAGGCAGCAGUGGGGAAUAUUGCACAAUGGGCGAAAGCCUGAUGCAGCAACGCCGCGUGAGUGAUGAAGGCCUUCGGGUCGUAAAGCUCUUUGAUCAGGGAUGAUAAUGACAGUACCUGAAAACAAGCCACGGCUAACUACGUGCCAGCAGCCGCGGUAAUACGUAGGUGGCGAGCGUUGUCCGGAAUUACUGGGCGUAAAGGAUGCGUAGGGUGGAUACUUAAGUGGGAUGUGAAAUCCCGGC